AAGAAAUCCAGGGACUUAUUGAUGGCAUCAGCACUGCUCUUCACCCCACAACAAGGUCACUGUUGACCAUUGCCCAAGAGAUUCAAGGUCUCAUCAAUGGUAUUUCUACCGCUCUAAACCCUACUCAAUAAGCACAACUUUUUACAGCUGAAUAAAUCUAAAUAUUUUUUUAGCUUUGAAGUUUAGAAAAUAAAUGAAUUUCACUACUCGUGAAACAUUAUUUACUAGAUAUCGUUCUCUCUUUUUAUUUCAAAAACUUGGAAUUUAUAAAUGACAAUUGUAUUGAAAGUUCGGGCUGGACUUCAUAAAUUAAUCUAAAUUGGUGAGCAUAUUGUAAAAUAGAAGUACCAGUAAAUAAAUGUCUUAAAAGAACUAUUUUCUGGUUUUUAUAUCCCAAAGUAGAUUUCAAGUGAGGGAAAAAAAACAAAAUAAAAGCUGUUUCUAAGAAUGCAAAAGAAUCAAUGACUCUAUUCUAUGUGUGUAUGUAUUUGUUAUGAUCGCAACAAAACUACCAUAAAAAAAAUAAAAAAAUUAAAAAUAAAAAUUUACGGUGCCAAAUCUUAACCAUGCUCUUCCCUGUGUGGCUAC